rnacentral:rRNA from 1 species
CGAAAGCCUGACGGAGCAAUACCGCGUGCGGGAGGAAGGCCCUUGGGUCGUAAACCGCUUUUCUUAGGGAAGAAACCUGACGGUACCAACGGAAUCAGCCUCGGCUAACUCCGUGCCAGCAGCCGCGGUCAUACGGAGGAGGCAAGCGUUAUCCGGAAUGAUUGGGCGUAAAGCGUCCGCAGGUGGCAAUGUAAGUCUGCUGUCAAAACCCAGGGCUCAACUCUGGUCAGGCAGUGGAAACUACAUAGCUAGAGUUCGGUAGGGGCAAAGGGAAUUCCCGGUGUAGCGGUGAAAUGCGUAGAGAUCGGGAAGAACAUCGGUGGCGAAAGCGCUUUGCUAGACCGAAACUGACACUCAGGGACGAAAGCUAGGGUAGCG